rnacentral:rRNA from 1 species
CGACCGGCGCACGGGUGAGUAACACGUAUGCAACCUGGCCGUGACAGAUGGAUAACCGGGAGAAAUCCCGCCUAAUACAACAUAAUGCCGGGAGGGGACAUCCCCUGCCGGUCAAAGGGGGCGACCCCGGUCAUGGAUGGGCAUGCGGCGCAUUAGGUAGUUGGUGGGGCAACGGCCCACCAAGCCGACGAUGCGUAGGGGUUCUGAGAGGAAGGUCCCCCACACUGGUACUGAGACACGGACCAGACUCCUACGGGAGGCAGCAG